UACGUAGGGUGCAAGCGUUGUCCGGAAUUAUUGGGCGUAAAGAGCUCGUAGGCGGUUUGUCGCGUCGAAUGUGAAAACCCGGGGCUCAACCCCGGGCCUGCAUUCGAUACGGGCAGGCUAGAGUGUGGUAGGGGAGAUCGGAAUUCCUGGUGUAGCGGUGAAAUGCGCAGAUAUCAGGAGGAACACCGGUGGCGAAGGCGGGUCUCUGGGCCGAAACUGACGCUGAGGAGCGAAAGCGUGGGGAGCAAACAGG
rnacentral:rRNA from 1 species